rnacentral:rRNA from 1 species
AUGCCGCUGGUUGAUAAAUUCUCCAACAAAAUGAAAGGAUGGAAGCCGAAGAUGAUGGCUACAGCUGGGCGCCUCACUCUCGCUCGCUCAGUCCUCAUGGCACUGCCGGUCCACCUUUUGGCGGCACUGCCUUUGCCAGCCUGGGCGAUCAAAAUCAUCAACCGUCACUGUCGUAGCUUCAUUUGGAAGGGCGAGGAAGAGAUCAAUGGGGGCCACUGUCUGCUCCCAUGG